GGCCAGGCCCCACGGGCCUACUGGGCCGCUGUUCAGGGGAAGCGGUUUGCAGCCCUUUCUACCGCCGGUGGCGGAGGCGGCGGCGGGGAGAUGGAAGACCCAGGGUCGGAGAUAAUAGAAUGUGUCCCUCCAGCUGGGCCUGAGGCGUCCGAGUCAACACCCGAGGAAAAUGAAGAUGACAUUCAGUUUGUUAGUGAGGGACCAUCAAGACCUGUUCUUGAAUACAUUGAUCUGAUCUGUGGUGAUGAUAAAGAGCGUAGCACCUAUCAUAGUGAUAUUUUGUUCCCUAAAAUGCCAAAACGACAGGGUGAUUUAUUGCAUUUUUUAAAUGCGAAGAAAGUGAAAACAGGCACAGAAAGUAACAAUAGGAACAAAAACUAUUGUGGAUUGUCUAAGUCUAAGGAAUCAAAUUUCAAAUAUGUUGAACAACCAAUCAUUGAAGAAAAGCCAUCAUGUUCAUCAAAGGAAGAAAUGGAUAAUCUUGUGCUUUCAGAUUGUUGGAAUGAAAAGCAAGCAUUUAUGUUUACAGAACAGUACAAAUGGCUUGAAAUAAAAGAAGUUUAGACAUGAAUAUGAACGAACUUUAAAUUUUAAAAUGAAGGCAUACUGAAAAAGCAGCAAGUAGAACUGCAGAAGCUAGUCCUACAACUGGGACAGUAAACAAAGACUGGAAGAAGGUACUGGCAAACUUAAAUGUGUUUGGAACAGUAUGGGUAUGUGAAUCUACUUUUUUCAACUGAAUGAAGGAGAAAUCAAAACAUUCUCAGGUGAAGGAAAACUAAGGAAAUUUGUCAUCAACAGACCAAUGCUAAAAUGAACGUUUAAGGGAAGUUCUGUAAACAAACGAUUAAAGGAGGAAUCUGGGAACAUCAGGAAGGAAGAAAAUAUAUUACCUGAAACAAAAGCACCUUCAGUUGUAAGUCUUAACGUUGGAUCUUGUUGGAGACUCUGCAGCCUCCCUGGCAGUGAGCACAAGGACAGGUGCAGUGACAGGCUGGGAGACACCCAUGACAUCGCUGGGCUGUGCUGAUCGGAGCACAAACUCGUGAAGAAGCUGCAAGUAGAUUCCACCCUCAGUACAAGUGACGCAUCAAACCAGAGAAUUUCUAGCAGGCCCAUGAGCAUGCAAUAUCGUUUCUUGGAAAUACGCAUUUCCCCAUCCCAAAAUAAAAUAGGUAUACUGAAAAAAUUUAAGUCUAUUCCUGCCUCAAACCAAAUUCCAGAAAAAAAUUAAAGAUGGAGUAAAGAGCUAAAAGUGAAGCCAUAACAGAAAAGUAAACAGUGGUGGAUAUUUUUAUGUUCUCUAAAGGAAAAGGACUUCCUAAGUCUAUAGUUAGUGCAACAAAAGUGCCAAAGAAAAAUUUAUUAACAUCUGAGUUCCUGCCCUGUGUUCUGCAUCCUCCGUGGAGAUGACAGUCUCACAGAGAGUUCUACCCUGUGCUGGAAUGUGCACUCAGUGUUUUCAUCUGUUCUAUGGCAAUGUUUUUCUGUGAAUGGCUUUCUUGCGUUUGACAAUUUUGCAGCUCUUUCCCACAUUUUUUCUUAUAAAAUCACUUACCGAUGCUGUGCCAUAGCCUUUCAUGAACACUUGUUUCUUAAUGACUUGGUUUUUCCCAGCUCAGCUAUUUGCAUCUGGGUUUGUGGAUGGUAGGAGGGGCCCUCUUUGCUUCACAGAGACCACUGACUCUGGCUGCUGUGGCUCUUCUGAGGAAUGUUUUGUGUAGCCCUGCUUCCUCUGUCGUCUGACCCAGGCUCAGUCGGAGAGGACUUGUCACUGGUCCUGCAUCCCCAGGUCCUUCACCAGCACAGCAGACAGAGGACAGAGCCCCUGCUCUUCCAGAUGAGCCCUGCACCUCAGGGGGUAUGUUUUUGCUGGACCUUUCUGAGAUCUGCUGCCGGGAGCCCUCCAAAUACUCUCUGUGCCUGUUCUCUCUGCAUCUGACUUCUGCUGAAGCUCAGCUCACCUCCCCCCUCAGUUGUUAGAUUUACAGAUUCUAGAUUUUGCAUUUCUGGAGGAGUUUCUGCCUUUCAGGAAGUAUACUUGCCUGGUACUUUCUGAGAUCUGCCACUCAUGAGGCCCAUUGACAUUUCCUUUGCAUUUUCUGUUUAAUUUUAACUGCGUUUCUUUAGAGUUUUUAUUUUAUUUAUUUAUAUUUCUUUUUGG